UCAUAGCCGUUAUAGCCAUCGCUUAGUCGGACGCCACCUGUCUCGCCCACCGCGGAUUUUACACGGCUUAUAUAUUUCUCCCCCACUCACACUCUCUUCUUCAGCACAUUCUCACACUAGAAUCAGAGCGCUCCCAUCAACGGCCUCUUUCCCUCUUGAGCGUUCGUUGCCGAAAUCGAACUCUCGACCAUUACCAGGCGAUCGGAGGAAGAUGGCCUCUUUCCUCUUGAGCGUUCGUUGCCGAAAUCGAACGCUCGACCAUUACCAGGGAGAGCAGAAUCGAAAGAAGUUUCUCGCCUCCUCAAACAUAGAGAUGAGAGGAGCUCGUAUGUCACUCAGACUGGUUCCGACAACAGAGAGGGGAAGCACAAAGCAAUUACUCUUGAAGCAGUUGGUCCUCUCACUGCCGGUGGGGUUUUCGCAUCUGCUAGGAAUACUGGUAGAAGAAAGAAUUUGGUCGGUCGAAGAGGUAAAAUGCGGGUUCUAAGGAAGAAUUUGGUCUGCUGAAGAGGAAAAGAUGGAAAUGGAGGACAUGGAGGGAGAUAAUAAAGUUGAGGGUAUUCUACAAGGAAUCAAACUCCGGUUGCUACUUUCAAUGCUCCAUCAGACAGAGCUUAGACCAUUCUUGAUGGCGGGAGCGUGCAGAGCUAUGCAGUUGCAAGAGGCAUCCCUAUGUCAAGUCUUUUCCUUUUAUGUUGUUCUUAAUAUUAUUUUAAUGUUAUUUAUCUCGAAACUCGUGUUAUUUUGUUAAUUGCUUUUGAUGUUGACGCCGUAGAAUAUUUUGUACUUUAAAUUAAUAUUAUGUCAGUUUUAAAUGCAUGUUUGAUUUUUCUCCUCGUGUUUCUCUGUUGUACAAAAUUGAAAAUUUUUACCACCCUUUUUACCCUUUAGUCCACAUGGCGAUCUGUGAUUCGAGGUAUCGGAAAGAAGGUCGUUACAGAUUGGUAUCAGAGCCCUAACAUUAGGUCAUGUAGACAAUUUUCCCUUGAAAGAGAGUCGUUUGGGUCUUUUGUAGCUUGGCUCGUAAGUAGCAAACACGAUAACUCCAAUUGAAUUGCAUGCAUAUGCUGAAUACAUUUAUGAAUUUGAAUAAGUUAAGCUUUGGGUUAGAAUACCUAGUAACCAAACUCUAUGAGGAGGUAGGCCCUUAUUGGGUUCGAUCUCAUUCGUGACUCCUAGUAAGGAAAGACACGCCAAGGACAAGAGUUCAAGUGAGUAGAUUCUCCAACUGCUGUCAUGGUAAGGAUACCAUGACGCUACGACCCCUGACCCUGGCACUGUGGCAAAACAGAGUAACAAAAACAAUGGGGACGACGUUAGAAUGUCCUAAGGGUCAAGAUAUUUGAGAGGCUUUUGCAAGCAUGACCCAUCGACACUUGAUGGAAAGAACGUAACCCCAGCUCAUCGGGUAAGAGAAGAAUCAGAAUACCACAAGCGGGUGAUGCCAUUGCUCGAGGCAAGAGCAGGUGAGACAAAUGUUAGGCUAGAGAGGACUAUUUCUAAGGAGAGCUUUGGGAUUAGGAUUGCCUAAAGGUGAAAAGUCCCAAUAACCUAAAAAUAGCUAGGAGAAUCGUAGUAGGUUGUAUAGCUUGAGGUGAUCCAAGUCUUGAGGAGCACGAGUGGUCUCCACCACGUCUAUCAUAGAGGCCGAGAUUACCCUGCCUGAAGUACCAUGGCGAAGGUCGUGCUAGAGGACAAGGAGGACGAUGAGUACAAGAUGGUGAGAGAACAACCAUAAAGUAGUGUACCCAAGGUUGGGGGUAGGUAUGGAUGGUCAGAUUUGCCACUCGUGGUAUAACUAGCUAGUAGACGCUCCCUGAUGUGUCUCGAGGAGAACAAGAUGGUAGUGGGAGACCAGAUUGUAACGCCUGAAAGAGGGGUUAUACGAAGCUAGAAGAUUCUUAUACAAUACUCGAUGGAGGUAUUAUACAGGAGAAGACUAAGAGGGGUACUAUGAGAUGGUACAAUCGUGAGCACACAAGUUUUAAUGUAUUGAAUGAGGGAAUUCUGCUCGAGGACUCAGUGACAACCUGGCCCACAUUAUCAAUCUAGCCUGGAAUGACACCCCGUCUAGAAUGGCAAUGAGUAAGGAGAUGGUUGCAUGCCACUAGGAGUAGUCGAUAACACUAAAAGUGUCCCACUAAGAGGAGAAUUAUGCCCGACAAGAUGUAGGAUGCCAUGGAUGGCAGCAUUGCCUUGAAAAUGAAAAGUUAAACUCAGUCCUGGUUAAACUCAUUUGAUAGGCACGACACAAGAAGUUGUUAUCUAUGCCCUUGUAAUGAGAGAAGAGAUUAAACCUAACCACAGGUUCAUGGGUUUGGGUCAAUCUUCGUGCUUGGCAUGGGAAUAUAGAGGCAAAAGUGAUGUGUACGACAAUAAAUAUAGUACCAUGGACAAACGGUUGAGCUUGGUACUAAAGAUUGAGGGUAAGACAUAUAAAUGAACGGCUUCACCACCUGAUGUGGUGUGACAUGUCGACAUGUGAAUAUGGAAUUGGAUAGGCAACGAACUCCUGGUGAUCAAAUUGAGCUGUGCGGUCGUGGGAGGGACCCCUAGAUUGAGUCUUUUCCUUUUAUUUUGCUUUUAAUAUUAUUUACCUUGAAACUUAAGCUAUAUUAUAACUACUUUUGAUGUUGACUCCACGAAAUAUGUCAGUUUAAAGGCAUGUUUUAUUUUUCUCCUUGCGUUUCUUUGUUUUACAAAAUUGAAAAAAAUUUCCAUCCUUUUUACCUUUCAUUGUGUCCACGUGAUGAUCUAUGAUUCGAAACAUCAAAAAGCAGGUUACAGUUUCCAUUGUCUCAUCAAUGGUAGCUUUCUCGUUCGGUAACAUGUAUAAGGAAAACCUUUAUAUUUCGCAUCUACUUGGUGAAAAAAAUUUGAAGGGUCAUAUGAUCUACUUAGAGAAGGACUAUCUUCAAUCACUUGAAAAGCUUUGCUGUUUCAUUCCUUCUACAUCCUUUAUGCAGGCAUAUUUAGUUUGAGGAUGUGAUUUCUGAACAAAUAUAAACAUCUACCUACCCAUCUUAUUAAUUAUGCAUUCACAUGUUUCUUUACUUUUUCCAUUUUCCUGCUUAUAUUAUCACGCUCAUGAGUUUACUAUCUCUGUGUAUAUCGACUUAUUCAGUAGGUAUUUUAGUUCUUGAUUUCACCCAAUUUUUUUGAUCAUGUAGGGAGCGGCAACUCAGUGUUAUGUGGCGUUGAACCCCCAAGUAAAAGGGGUAAGUGGAGAGUAUUUUGUUGAUAAUAAUAUUGCCGGCCCAACCAAUCAUGCCAAGAAUAUGUAGUUGGCCAAGAAACUGUGGGAUUUCAGCGUGGAACCAACCAGUCCAAAAUAAUUUGAAUCUAAUAGAAGCCUUUUGUUACUCUUAGCUUCUCAUCUCAGACUUUAUGUUAUUGAUAUAUGGACUGUUAAAUGGUGGAAGUAGAUGUAUCAUUAUUUUUAGUUUCAAGUGCCCCUUUGAGCCUAUACAAACAAUUACUGAGCACAAGUUUGUUAUACUGUGUAACAAAUACAAUAGUGUUUUUGUAGAUUUCAGUCCAAAAGUGUGACAAAAGUAUUUUAAA